rnacentral:rRNA from 1 species
AGAAUCAACGCUGGCGGCGUGCCUAACACAUGCAAGUCGCACGAGAAAGGGGCUUCGGCUCUGAGUAAAGUGGCGCACGGGUGAGUAACACGUGACUAAUCUACCCUCGAGUGGGGAAUAACUGAGAGAAAUCUUAGCUAAUACCGCAUAACACUUACGAGUCAAAGCAGCAAUGCGCUUGGGGAGGAGGUCGCGGCCGAUUAGCUAGUUGGCGGGGUAAUGGCCCACCAAGGCGAUGAUCGGUAUCCGGCCUGAGAGGGCGCACGGACACACUGGAACUGAAACACGGUCCAGACUCCUACGGGAGGCAGCAGUGGGGAAUUUUGCGCAAUGGGGGAAACCCUGACGCAGCAACGCCGCGUGGAGGAUGAAAUAUCUUGGUAUGUAAACUCCUUUCGAUGGGGAAGAUUAUGACGGUACCAUAGAAGAAGCCCCGGCUAACUUCGCGCCAGCAGCCGC